GAAUACAUAUUAUAAAUUGAAGUUAUAUUAGUUAAUUCUACAUUGCUUUGGCAGAAUGUCUAACAAAAGCAACUGAAGAAAAGGAAAGAUUUGUCUCUUGACUUCAGAGGGUCCAUUCCUGUUUGCUUAGCCACACACCCUCUGGAAGAGUAUCAAGGCAGUGGAAAUAUGGAGGGGAAGACUGUUCGCCUCAUAGUAAAGAGAAAGCUGAGAAAAAGAGGAAGAGACCAGGGCAAGAAGCAGCAUCUCAUGGGUUGUCACUCCUGAUGAUGUCCUGAAGUCUGUAGGCUCCUGAAAUGUUGGAGCUCAUAUAUUCUUGUGGAAAAGGUCAAGGUGUAAGCCCUCAGCUUCCUGCUCCAGCCACCAGGCCUGCUGUUUGCCAUGCUUUCCUGCCAUGGUAGACUCAACCUUCUGGAACUACAAACUAUAAGUUUCCUUAGUAUUAUAAUGGUUUGAGUGAGAAUGACCCCCACAGCCUCCUAUAUAUGAAUGCUCAGUCACCAGGGAAUGGAACUGUUAGGAAGGAUUAGGAGGUGUGGCCUCCUUAGAGGAGGUAUGUCCUUGUUGAAGAAGGUGUAUCCUUGUUGGAGAAGGUGUGGCCUUCUUGGAGUAAGUGUGCCCUUGUUAGAAGAGGUGUGUAUCAUUGGGGAUGGGCUUUGAGGUUUCAAAAGCCCAUGCCAGGCCCAGCCUCUCUCCCUCUGCCUGCUGUCUUCAGAUCAGGGUAUAAAGCUCUCAGCUACUGCUCCAGUGCCAUGCCUGUCUGCUUCCCACUGUGAUGAACAUGGACUAACCCUCUGGAAGUGUAAGCAAGCCCACAAUUAAAUGCUUUCUUUCAUAAGUUUCUCUUAUAAAUUAGAUGAGAAUGUGAGUAGAAGUAAUGAGGGGGAAAUAAUCCAAGAUGUGUCCCCUAAGCAAAUGUGAAGCAGGAGGAACUAUUUUCUAAGUACAAAUCUGAAAAAAGGAUUUAUACUGAGAAUAUAAAAUUUUUUUCUUAAAAGAUAUUCAAUCUCAAUAAAAAGAUGGUAGAAGUACAAUUAAAGAUGGGAGAGAACAUUCAAUAGACACUGUAUCAGUGAAGAUAUAUGAAGAGCUAGUAAAUACAUAAAAAAGUUGAACACAAGCAGUUAGGGCAAUGCAAUUGGAAGUACAAUGGAAUACAAAUAUAUACAAUUACAACAGUGGAAACCCAACAGACUAAUUAUUACAAGUGGUGAAGAGCCUGUGGAAAAAUUGAAAGCCUAAUGCAGCUACUCAUGAGACUGUAAAGGUCUAUCACUUAGAAUAUAAUUUUGUGUUUUCUUAAAAGUUAAAAGCAGCUAACCAAAGUACAUCAAUUACACUCUUAUCUAUUCGCCU